rnacentral:rRNA from 1 species
AUUGAACGCUGGCGGCAUGCUUUACACAUGCAAGUCGAACGGUAACAGGCCGCAAGGUGCUGACGAGUGGCGAACGGGUGAGUAAUGCAUCGGAACGUGCCCAGUCGUGGGGGAUAACUACUCGAAAGAGUAGCUAAUACCGCAUACGAUCCAUGGAUGAAAGCGGGGGACCGUAAGGCCUCGCGCGAUUGGAGCGGCCGAUGUCAGAUUAGGUAGUUGGUGGGGUAAAGGCUCACCAAGCCAACGAUCUGUAGCUGGUCUGAGAGGACGACCAGCCACACUGGGACUGAGACACGGCCCAGACUCCCACGGGAGGCAGCAGUGGGGAAUUUUGGACAAUGGGCGCAAGCCUGAUCCAGCAAUGCCGCGUGCAGGAAGAAGGCCUUCGGGUUGUAAACUGCUUUUGUACGGAACGAAACGGCUCUGGUUAAUACCCGGGGCUAAUGACGGUACCGUAAGAAUAAGCACCGGCUAACUACGUG